rnacentral:rRNA from 1 species
UUCCGGUUGAUCCCGCCGGAGGCUACUGCUAUCGGGAUUCGAUUAAGCCAUGCGAGUCGAGGGAAUUCAUAUUCCCGGCUGACGGCUCAGUAACACGUGGAUAACCUGCCCUCAGGUGGGGGAUAAUCUCGGGAACCUGAGGAUAAUACCCCAUAAGCAUCCUUUACUGAAAUGCUUGGAUGUUCAAAGUUCAAGCGCCUGAGGAUGGGUUCACGACCUAUCAGAUCAUAUUGGGUGUAACGGACCCACUAGCCUACGACGGGUGCGGGCUUUGGAAGAGGUAGCCCGGAGAUGGAUUCUGAGACACGAGUCCAGGCCUUCGGGGCGCAGCAGGCGCGAAAAUUCGCUAUUCGGGAAACCGUGACGAGGGAAUCCCGAGUGCUCAUACUAUGUAUGGGCUUUUAUUAUGUGUAAAAAGCAUGAGGAAUAGGGCGGUUAAGACCCGGGUGCCCACCCGCGGUAAUACCGGGCAGCUUCUAGUUGGUAGCCGCUAUUAUUGGGUCUAAAGGGUCCGUAGCCGGUUCGAUAAGUCUUCUGGGAAAUCUGGUUGCUUAACAAAUCAGACUGCAAGGGAUACUGUCGAACUUGAGACCGGGAGAGGUAAGAGGUACUUCAGGGGUAGGAGUGAAAUCUUGUAAUCCCUGGGGGACCAUCUGUGGCGAAGGCGUCUUACCAGAACGGGUCUGACGGGUGAGGGACGAAAGCUGGGGGCGCAAACUGGAUUAGAUACCCGGGUAGUCCCAGCCGUAAACGAUGCUCGCUAUGUGUCAGGUACGGUGUGACCGUAUUCUGGUGCCGUUAGGGAAUCCGUGAUAGCGAGCCACCUGGGAUAGUACGGUCGCAAGACUGAAAACUUUAAAUGGAAUUUGGCGGGGGAGCACUACUCGGGUGAGCUUGCGGUUUAAUUGGAUUCAACGCCGG